UGGAAUCUAUGAAGGUUUUUCUCGAAGUAUGGUUGGAGGCGAUCUGAGCAAACACGGCAGGAUUACUGGUUGCUCCGCCGAUGGAGAUGAGAGUUUUUAGGGGAGGGGUUUUGGUUCUGAUGCUACUCGUGAAUCUCGAGAGGCUUUCGGCCGUUAAAUUAAAUACUCGUAAUUUGUAUGUGAUGCUGUUUGGCGCGAGGAAAGCGUAGUAGAUGUGAGUGUACAAUGAUGAGUUUAUGGCUGAAGCAGGGAAGAUCGAUUGCUCAAACCAGUAAGCGCCUCUCACCACUGAAUGUGAAUUGGAUAAUGCCGUCGUGCAUCUGGAGGUCACUGCCAGCAGAAUUGCGUUGAGAAGGAAAGUCACAACGUUUAGUUUAGUCGCCAUGAUUUGGCUGCGGAGUUUUGAGUUGAUGGGCAAAGCUCGCUACUUGAAGGCUCUAUAUAAAGACUAAUAAAGAGGUUUCUCAAAGAAGCAAGUGUAUGGUAUACUUAAAUCUUAAUAUGACAGAAGUAAAAGAUUAUUGAAACAAGUUUUCAGAAGAGAGAGUUUUAAAAGAGAGACAUAAUUAAAAACACUCUAAUCUUAUUCUUAAAUGAGCUUUGUGUUAUAAUACAAAUGAAACUCUUUUUUAUAGAUGAAGGGAGGAAAGUAAAGACAACACACUAACUAUUACAAGAUGAGAUAUCAUCACAUGUAUACACUCUUUUUCAAAAGAAAAGUUGGACAUGACUAAAAGUAAAAGCAAUUUUACUACAACUGACUUGACUAAAGCAGACAAUUUUGUCAAAAAGUAAAAGUUACUUUUGAUAAAAAUGACUCCAAAGUAAAACUAACAUUAACAAAAGUAGGCAUGAGUAAGAAAAGCGGAUUAUUGACUUGAUUAAAGAUAAGGUUUCAAUUAUUUUAGACUUUUGUGAAUGCUUUCUUGAUGAAAUGACAGAUUUAGGUAGCUUUUCUCUCUUUAUAAAAAGUUAGGUUGAGAGGCUUUUUGCUUGUUCUUCAUCAAAACCUUCAUCUAUAUAUUGAGAUACUACAGGGCCAAGGGUGCCUUUUGUCUCUAGAAAUAAUUGUUAGGUUUGAAACUCUAUUUAAUAGGGUCUUGGUUAUUUAGAGGAAACAAGUUGAGAGUGGAUCCCGUACUUUUAAAAGACUGUGCUCCAUGAAAAAUGAGAAGUUUUUCAUUAAAUUACCCUUCAAGAAGUGAGUAUAUUAAUCUCACAAAAGCAUCCCAUCUCCGGAUGAAUCUAGAAGAUCUUAUGCCGGCAAGACAAGAAUAUGCAGCUUUAUUGAAGAAGGGAUUGAUUGAACUCACCAAGUCAGGCUGGACAUGUCAAGUAUUCUAUGUUUAAAAAAGAUCAUAAAAGCAAUGAGGAAAAAAGAGACUAGUAAUUGACUAUAAGUUUCUCAAUGCUUUUUUACAAGAUGACAAAUUUUCUCUUCUAAAAAUUUAAACUCAAUUACUUAAUGUGAAGCAAGCCAAGAUUUUCUCAAAGUUUGAUUUUAAGGAAGGAUUUUGGCAAUUGGGUAUAGAUCUUGUGGAUUAUUAUAAGAUGACCUUCUGUAUUCCAAAUGCUUAAUGCGAAUGGAUAGUUAUGUCUCUUGGGCUUAAAACUACCUAUUAUUAUUUCAAAAGGUCAUGAUUUGUAUCUGUGGGCCCAUUAUCAACAACACCCUGGUGUAUAUUAAUGACAUUUUAUUAUUCGUAGAAACAAAGCAAGAGCAUAAAGAUCUACUAGCUCAAUUCUACAAGAUAAUCCAAUAAUAUUGAAUUAUGCUUUUAGCUUGUAAAGGGUCAUAUUCAAGAUAGAUAGUACUAGCCUUGCCCACAUAUUGCCCAAGAAUUAUUAAAUUUUUCUGAUGAAAACUUAUCCAAAUCUCAGAUUCAAUAGUUCUUAGAUAUGGUAAAUUACAUUAGGGAUUUUAUUCCUUAAGUGUUCUAUCACACUAGCCAACUGUUUAAACUAUUGUGAAAAAAUCCACCAUCUUAAGGAUCUAACUAGACAAAAGUUGUCCAAUAUCCAUAGCAAAUUUGUCAGCAUCCUUCAUCAUUAAGGAUUCCUGACAAAUGACAAAGAGUUUUGCAAACUGAUACAGGCAAUGACUAUUGGGGAGCAGUACUCAUUGAGAAAGAAAAUGGUAAAAGACAUUAUUGUGGUCAUACUAGCGAUGAAUUCAAGCCUUUCGAAAAGUAUUAUCACAGUCUAUAAAAAAGUCUUAAUUGUGAAACAUGGCAUAAAGAAAUUCAAUUUUUAUCUUAGCCCCUAUCGCUUUAUAGUAGAAAUGGACAACACAUCAUUCUCAAAAAUUCUUGAUCAAAACAAAAAGAUACUCCUUGAAGCUCAACUUCUUUGAUGGAAAGAUUGAUACAAUUUGACACAUUAAAGAAAAUCAUAACACCAUUGCAUAAUAUCUCACUAGACUUCAAAAAGUUCAACUUAUAACAAUGUCACAUAACCAACUUCUUUAUAUCCUUAACAUCAUGCCCAAAUAAUUAAUUUUUCCUCCAAGAUUCAAUCCUAAAACUAUCCUUGAAGUCCAUUAAUUAGCCAAGAAAAGUUUGUUAUUUUAACUCCACCUUCUCCUCUAAAAAAUCCAAAUCCAACCCUAGCUUGAGUUUUUUUUUUUUAACAUUCAAACUCCAUACAUGGCUAUACCCUAUAUGAGAGGACCCAUACCAAAUAAAACCAUGUGGUGGUAUCUCUGGUUUCUCUUGACUCUCUAUGCAUGUGCCUUAGCUUUUUCACCAUUGAUCAUUUAUAAUUAUCUUCAUGACUCUGUUAAUGAAGGAUCUAAUAUAUGGAAUUUUUUAGAGUGGUUUUCACCAUUAUCAGAUGGCAUAAGAAACUUUCUCAAGUGAUUGAAAAAUAUGGUUUGUGGAAGGUACCAUUGAAUGAACACAAGGCUUAUUCCUUCUUUGUUGUUCAUCGUCCUUACUACCUAGACAACCAUGGGGAUCUUUAUGUGGCCAACCAAGCAUGUGCGUGGAAAACUUCAAUUAACUGGUCGACACAUGAAAAAUUAGUUUUAACUAAGUUAAAAUAUUUUUAUGUGAAAUGAACAACUUUUCAAGUACAAAUUUUAAUGUCAGGGGUACAUCUCUUAGUCUUAUCCCACAUCAAUCUAUCCUCCCUAAUGAGCCGUCACCAUUUGUACAAUAUCAUAUUCUAGAAUAGCUUUCCAGUAUUGUUGUUCAACAAGUUUACUCAACCUAGAUGGAAUCUUAUUAUGAAGCACAAUUGUCGCAAAGUAUAGGAUCCAAUCUCAACUUGUUUCCUCCAAACAAGCAGGACCUUUAUGAAAUAGAGUCUCAAACUACCAAUUAUUUUCAAAGAUAAAAGGCACCCUUACCCCUAUACCAUCUUAAGGUAUGGAUGAAGAUUUUGAUUAAGAACAAAUCAGCCCGACUUUUUAGAAAGAGAGAGAAAAGCUACCUAAAUUUGUCCUUUGAUCAAGAAUGCAUCCAUAAAAGUCUGAGAUGAUUGAAACAUUAUCUUCAAUCAUGUAAAGAAUUUGCUUUUGUUAAUGAUGCUUGCUUUUGUCAAUGUAACCUUUGCUUUAGAGUCAUUUUUGUCAAAAGUAGCUUUUACUUGUUGACAAAAUUGUCCAUUUUAGUCAAGUGAGCUUUAGUAAAGUUGCUUUUACUUUUAGUCAUGUCCAACUUUACUUUUGAAAAAGAGUAUAUGCAUGCAUGAUAUGUCAUCUUGUAAUAAUUAGUAUGCUGUCUUCACUUUCCUUCCUUCAUCUGCAAAAGGAAGUCUCAUUUGUAUUGUAAGACAGAGCUCGUUUAAGAAUAAGAUCAGAGUGUUUUCAAUUA